rnacentral:misc_RNA from 1 species
GAUGAAGAACGUAGCGAAAUGCGAUAAGUAAUGCGAAUUGCAGAAUUCAGUGAGUCAUCGAAUCUUUGAACGCACAUUGCGCCCUGUGGUAUUCCGCAGGGCAUGCCUGUUCGAGCGUCAUUUCAACCCUCAAGCUCUGCUUGGUGUUGGGCCCUGCCCGCUGCGGCCGGCCCUAAAGACAGUGGCGGUGCCGCCUGGCCCUGAGCGUAGUACAUCUCUCGCUCCAGUGCCCGGUGGUAGCCUGCCAGAACCCCAACUCGCGUGGUUGACCUCGGAUCAGGUAGGGAUACCCGCUGAACUUAAGCAUAUCAAUAAGCGGAGGA